GGAGAACCUCAUCCUAACAUGAGCUGAAAUUGACUGUCGGAAAUAAGAAGAGAACCUCGUCCUGACGCAAACAAAGACCCAGUCGAUCAAGAUCGGAUGAAGAGGAAAGCCUCCUCAAUGGCUCAUCUACGCUCUCACGACCCCGUUAAGAGUAGAGGGAAAAUCCUCACUCGAACACAAAAAAAAAGAAGAGAAGAUGAAAAGGGAAAGCGAUGAACCACACCAGCGAUAAGUGAAAAACAAACUACAUCAAAGAUCCAAGGGACCUCGUCUCAACGAGGAAGGAUACUCCUAUCAAAAAAUCCUCAGUCACUAAAAGAAAACUCGACACAGGCCGAGGAGAAAUCGACUUUCUCAAAGUAACGAGAAGUUCGGGUCCCCAAGCUCGAGCACCGGGAGGAAGCGUCAAACUCAAAUGGCCUCGAAAAGACCUACGAUCAUGAACAAAAAAGGCAAAUCAACAUGGCGACGAUUGAAAACCUUCAAACAAUGUCAGCAUCGAACAGGGCAAAAGAUAAAAGAAGUUCGGUAAACAACAACUCAAAGCAAGAAUAGACGAGGAAUCACAAACAACGCCGACGCCAAACA
rnacentral:lncRNA from 1 species